rnacentral:rRNA from 1 species
AAUGAACGUUGGCGGCAUGGAUUAGGCAUGCAAGUCGAGCGAGAAGGGUUUUGAAGCUUGCUUUAGAACCCGGAAAGCGGCGCAAGGGAGAGUAACGAGUAGUUAUCUACCCCAAGGCCCGGAAUAGCUGCGGGAAACUGCAGGUAAUGCCGGAUAAUAUCCCCGGAUCAAAGGUGUGAUUCCGCCUUGGGAGGAGACUGCUUUGUACUAGCUAGUUGGUAGGGUAAUGGCCUACCAAGGCUACGAUGCAUAGCGGGCGUGAGGGCGUGGCCCGUCUCACUGGGACUGAAACACUGCCCAGACACCUACGGGUGGCUGCAGUCGAGAAUCUUCGGCAAUGGGCGAAAGCCUGACCGAGCGAUGCCGCGUGCGGGAUGAAGGCCCUCGGGUUGUAAACCGCUGUCGUAGAGGAGAAAGGUCUGAUGAAGAAUCAGAUUUGAUCUAUUCUAGGAGGAGGUCGGGGCUAAGUUCGUGCCAGCCGCCGCGGUAA